ensembl:lncRNA
GCGAGAAGCUGAGAGUGACUUUAAAAAGAUAAAGAACCAUCGUUGUUAGGCUAAAGCUCAAUGCAAGAUAGAACGUAGGCAUUUUAUAAAGACAGAACGUAUUUUACAAAUAGUUCUGUUUGUUUGAAAAGGGUCUUCUAAUUUUCAAAAGGCAGUCCAUCCUAAAAAGCUUCACGACAUCAGUGGGCGUUUUCUUAUCAGAGAGCGUGAGACAUUUUUACACAUUUCCCCUUGCUCAUUCAACCGCCUCUCAUUUACAGUAUCAUCAUGCGGACCGCUCUGCUUCUCGCGGUGUUCUCGUGCUUUUCUCUUAUCGAGGGAAAGCCAUUCGAAGAUAAAACGUGUGUUGGAAUUCGCAGAGAAGAUUCGUCCUAUGACUUUGACCUGCCCGACGCUGUGGCCGUGAACUUGCAAGACCUCACCUGUGAUGCAGAGUGGACCAUUGAUAAUUAUGUCAAUCACCUUACAUGUUCUUGCACCAAUUCCACCAGCAUCUAUCCAGUGUUUAGCACAACUCUGCCAUCUAGAGAUUCAUCCUCCACUGCAAUCAAAACUAAUUCUUCAGUGAGACAACACUUUCAGAAAUUCCUCACAAAACAGAAGAAUAACAGUAGUAAUAAUUAUCCUCAUUUCGAUGUUGGUCAAGGUUAUGGAAUCGCAGACUGCAAAAACAAUAUGUUGCCAUUGCUGUUGCUGCCAUUUUUGUCAUAACCCUUGUCAUUUUGGCUUUCCACUCUGCAAGCACAGCGAAAUAUGCUCCUGAAGAACAAAACCAGCCUGGUUCAGUAGAAUGAGCCUGAGGAGGCAACUGUAAUUGCCCUAGAAACAACACAUGGCGUGGAGUCAUAACAACACAUUAUCCUAUAAUGUAACACAUAUUAUAUUAUAUUAUAUUAUAUUAUAUUAUAUUAUAUUAUAUUAUAUUAUAUUAUAUUAUAUAGUCAAAAAUUGAGAUUUUCCACUGUAUAUUAUAUUAUAUUAUAUAGUCCAAAACUGGGAUUUUUCACUGUAUAUUAUAUUAUAUUAUAUUAUAUUAUAUUAUAUUAUAUUAUAUUAUUCAAAACUGUGAUUUUUCACUGUAUCACUCCGCUUGUCCGUGUUCCAUUUUGAACUUGGGUUUUUCAUUGAUUCAUUCUGCAACUAACUUGGUUACGCUAACCGGUUAUGACAAGUGAGGGUUUUGUAUUGAAUGUCUUUUGUAUAAACGAGUUACUGAAUCAUUCAUUCAUUUACUCAAGUAACUUAAUAUUACUCAAGUUAAUCAAUAUUGUAUAAAACCAUACCAAUCAGUAUAACAAUGUCACGCUUUUGGUGCUGCAACAGAACACACAACAGAGUAUGUGGAAGUGGAACGACAUCAAAUUCCUCUCCUUGCUCAAUAAGUUCUGUAAUCAUGUUACUUCACUCCCUCUACACAUUUCCUAUUUCUCACUGGUUAGAGAAAAACACUGCUCUUAGAGUAAGAGAAAACACAGACAUACUAAAAGUGACACAAACAGUGAAAUAUCAGAGUUUUACUAAAUAUGGUCACUGUUGUACCUGUAUUAUAUUAUAUUAUUAUAUUAUAUUAUAUUAUAUUAUAUUAUAUUAUAUUAUAUUAUAUUAUAUUAUAUCAUAUCAUAUAUUAAGUUUAAUAUGAAGUCUAAUAUAAAGGUUAUAACUUUGUAUUUCCUCCCAGUAUUUACAAUAGUUUCCUGUCUCUUCUGUUGUUAGAUAUUGUUUUUUACACAAAUUGGGCUUAAAAGUUUUAAUCAUUAACGUUACAUAGCGGCGCUUGUGUUCAUCUUUGCUUAGUGCUGUAAAUCUUGUUUGCUCGUAGUUCUAAACACUUUUAUAGGAAUUUCUUAUUUAUUUCAGGUUUUUCCAUCCUUGUAGCUCUUUUUAAUUUUUUUGUUUGUUUGUUUUGAGUUAUUCUGAAACUGCCAUUAAACCUAUGCCUUUUACUCAA